CAUGGAGAUGCCAUCAUGCUGAGAUCAACCUACCCAGACGUCCACUAUCUUGCAAAUCUUACCUGAUGUGCCACCAUCUAUGACAUUGGGCCAGACAGGAGGCCAUUUUACAGAAACUAACCGUACUGUUUUGCGACUUGGAUAUGUCUUUUACAGUGAACAUAUAAGUGGACUUUUUCUGGAAUAAAGGUAUAUUCAUUCAACAAUUAACGCCCAGAUUGCUUCAUUCAGGAGGACUUAAAAUUGCUCACCUUACAUA
rnacentral:lncRNA from 1 species